UAGAUGUAUGGGCCACAUGUGGGG
rnacentral:piRNA from 1 species